UUUCUCUUUUUUUUACAUUUUUACAUUUUAAAAUUUUCUCUAAUACUAUUAUAAAGUUUACUAAUUACAAUUAUACGAAAAGUGUUAUUUUUCUUUCUUCUUCCUCUAUUCACAUAUAUUUAUUUAGAGUGGUAGCCAUCUCUAUCCUUCCAUCUCACUUUCAGCCCCUCUUGUCUCCAUUCCUCCCGUCUCCAUUCCUCCCAUCUACAUCCCUUCUUGCCAUGCAAAACUUCUUCUUAACCUUCCUAUGGCGCAGUCUAAGGAGAAAGAAACACUCUCUGAGUUUCUUCAUCUCUUGGUCAAAUCAUCUCCAUCUCUUUCAAACUUCUUUUUGCUACUAUUGAUAUAGUUUCAAGCUCUGAUUUGUGGGUGAUAUAAGACAUCUGAUGUUGUUGAUAAGUUGAAGCUUCCAAAGAAAAAUAUUGUCAAGGUUUAUAAUUUGUUUUUUUUUUAUUUGUAUUGUUUGAAAUGUUCUCUGGCUAUAGUUCAUUCAUUUGAAAAAAAUAUAUAUAUUUUAUAGUAGCAAGUUGUUUUAUAGUUUGUUUAAUGUUGUUUUGAUGCUGUUUUACUUGCUACAAGACUUGAUUUUUAGUGAUGAUAAACUUCAAAAUUGAUCAGAAUGAAGUUAGUGGCAUACAUCAAAAGUGUACAAGAAAAUGUUCCAAAGUCUUUCAAGAAGGUUGGAGUUACUGUGCAUGAAUUAACGAUUGAGAAGGAAGUGUGUUUCGUUUUGGUUGUAUAUGCUGAAGAGCGACAUUUUUUUUUUUAAGAAACUUUACUUUUAUAUAUUUUUUUUAAAUUUUCUCUAGUUAACUUUAUAUAUAUCUUGUACGAGAUAUUGAAUAUUAUAAUUUCUUUUUAAUUGUUUAUAUCUUUUACUACAUUAAGAAACAACAAUUAUUAUAUUUUUAAUUUAUACAUCAA